UGGGGAAUAUUGGACAAUGGGCGCAAGCCUGAUCCAGCCAUGCCGCGUGUGUGAAGAAGGCCUUCGGGUUGUAAAGCACUUUUGUCCGGAAAGAAAAGCUUCGGGUUAAUACCCCGAGGUUCUGACGGUACCGGAAGAAUAAGCACCGGCUAACUUCGUGCCAGCAGCCGCGGUAAUACGAAGGGUGCAAGCGUUACUCGGAAUUACUGGGCGUAAAGCGUGCGUAGGUGGUUUGUUAAGUCUGAUGUGAAAGCCCUGGGCUCAACCUGGGAAUUGCAUUGGAUACUGGCAGGCUAGAGUGCGGUAGAGGAUGGCGGAAUUCCCGGUGUAGCAGUGAAAUGCGUAGAGAUCGGGAGGAACAUCUGUGGCGAAGGCGGCCAUCUGGACCAGCACUGACACUGAGGCACGAAAGCGUGGGGAGCAAACAGGAUUAGAUACCCGAGUAGUCCCUGAGCGGGCUGGCAAGGCGCAU
rnacentral:rRNA from 1 species